rnacentral:rRNA from 1 species
CCUACGGGUGGCAGCAGUGAGGAAUAUUGGUCAAUGGGCUCGAGCCUGAACCAGCCAAGUAGCGUGAAGGAUGACUGCCCUACGGGUUGUAAACUUCUUUUAUCAAGGAAUAAAGUGAGGCACGUGUGCCUUUUUGUAUGUACUUUAUGAAUAAGGAUCGGCUAACUCCGUGCCAGCAGCCGCGGUAAUACGGAGGAUCCGAGCGUUAUCCGGAUUUUUUGGGUUUAAAGGGAGCGUAGGUGGGUUGGUAAGGCCGUUGUGAAAGUUUGCGGCUCAAACGUAAAAUUGCCAUUGAUACUGGCAGUCUUGAGUACAGUAGAGGUAGGCGGAAUUCGUGGUGUAGCGGUGAAAUGCUUAGAUAUCACGAAGAACUCCGAUUGCGAAGGCAGCUUACCAAAGUGCCACUGACAUUGAUGCUCGAAAGUGUGGGUAUCAAACAGGAUUAGAUACCCCAGUAGUC